rnacentral:rRNA from 1 species
AUACGAAGGGGGCUAGCGUUGUUCGGAAUUACUGGGCGUAAAGCGCACGUAGGCGGAUUGCUAAGUCAGGGGUGAAAUCCCGGGGCUCAACCUCGGAACUGCCUUUGAUACUGACAGUCUUGAGUCCGGAAGAGGUGAGUGGAAUUCCUAGUGUAGAGGUGAAAUUCGUAGAUAUUAGGAAGAACACCAGUGGCGAAGGCGGCUCACUGGUCCGGUACUGACGCUGAGGUGCGAAAGCGUGGGGAGC